rnacentral:rRNA from 1 species
AAUCUUGGACAAUGGGGGAAACCCUGAUCCAGCCAUCCCGCGUGUAUUAUGAAGGCCUUCGGGUUGUAAAGUACUUUUGGUAGAGAAGAAAAGGUACCUCCUAAUACGAGGUACAGCUGACGGUAUCUGCAGAUUAAGCAUUGGCUAACUACGUGCCAGCAGCCGCGGUAAUACGUAGGGUGCAAUCGUUAAUCGGAAUUACCGGGCGUAAAGCGUGUGUAGGCGGUUCGGAAAGAAAGAUGUGGAAUCCCAGGGCUCAACCUUGGAACUGCAUUUUUAACUGCCGAGCUGGAGUAUGUCAGAGGGGGGUAGAAUUCCACGUGUAGCAGUGAAAUGCGUAGAUAUGUGGAGGAAUACCGAUGGCGAAGGCAGCCCCCUGGGAUAAUACUGACGCUCAGACACGAAAGCGUGGGGAGCAAACAG